GAUUGGCGCAGUGGUAGCGCAGGGGCUUUACACGCCUAAGGUCGGGGGUUCGAAUCCCUCAUCGCC
rnacentral:tRNA from 1 species